rnacentral:rRNA from 1 species
GACAGAGGUGCCGAGCGUUGUUCGGAAUUACUGGGCGUAAAGCGCGCGCAGGCGGUCCUUCAAGUCAGAGGUGAAAGCCCAGAGCUCAACUCUGGAAUGGCCUUUGAGACUAGAGGACUUGGGUACGGGAGAGGUGAGUGGAAUUCCGAGUGUAGAGGUGAAAUUCGUAGAUAUUCGGAAGAACACCAGUGGCGAAGGCGGCUCACUGGCCCGUUACCGACGCUCAGGCGCGACAGCGUGGGGAGCAAACAGG